GACAUGGAUGCCAGCCAUGUUCUUCUUGGGAGACCUUGGCAAUUUGAGGUGGAUACUAUACACAAGGUCAAGGAAAAUUCUUACUCUUUCAUUUGGAAUAAGAGAAAUAUCAUUAUCUUACCAAACAAAACCGAAGGUAAUACCUCUAAGGAGGAGGGUAAAACUAUGUUAACCAUCUCCCAUACCUCUCAUGAGUUUAUCGAAGACUUGAAGGAGGCAGAUUUGUGUGCUGCACUUGUUGUAAAAGUAGAAGAGCACCUGACUAUUGAAAUUCCAGCAAAGGUACGUUGUUUAUUGGCAGAAUUUCAGAACAUACUUGGAGAGCCACAAGGCUUGCCACCGAUGAGAGGAAUUCAACAUAGAAUCGACUUAAUUUCGGGACCAAGUCUUCCUAAUCUUCCACACUAUCGAAUGAUCCCAAAGGAGCAUGAUUUAUUGAAGGAGAAAGUGGAGGAAUUGCUGCAAAAGGGGCACAUUCGAGAA
rnacentral:rRNA from 1 species